rnacentral:tRNA from 1 species
GAUCCCAUUAGCCUAGUGGUUGAGGCUAUGGGUCGUUAAUCCGGAGACGGCGGGUUCGAUUCCCGUUCCGGUCG